rnacentral:lncRNA from 1 species
GGACUUCCCGUGUGGCUCACAACAUAACUACUCGGCGUUGCUUCUACAGGGUCAAAUCGGAGCUGUAGCCACCGGCCUACGCCAGAGCCACAGCAACACAGGAUCCGAGCUGCGUCUGCGACCUACACCACAGCUCAUGGCAACGCCGGAUCCUUAACCCACUGAGCAAGGGCAGGGACCGAACCCGCAACCUCAUGGUUCCUAGUCAGAUUCCACUGCUCCAGGACGGGAACU